rnacentral:rRNA from 1 species
GGUUAAGUGAAUAAGGGCGCACGGUGGAUGCCUUGGCACUAGGAGCCGAUGAAGGACGGGACUAACACCGAUAUGCUUUGGGGAGCUGUAAGUAAGCUAUGAUCCAGAGAUUUCCGAAUGGGGGAACCCAAUAUCUUUUAUAGGAUAUUACUUUUCAGUGAAUACAUAGCUGAUUAGAGGUAGACGCAGAGAACUGAAACAUCUUAGUACCUGCAGGAAGAGAAAGAAAAUUCGAUUCCCUGAGUAGCGGCGAGCGAAACGGGAAGAGCCCAAACCAACAAGCUUGCUUGUUGGGGUUGUAGGACUCCAAUAUGGUAGUCUGUUAGUAUAGUUGAAGGAUUUGGAAAAUUCCGCUAAAGAGGGUGAAAGCCCCGUAGACGAAAUGCUGACAACACCUAGGAGGAUCCUGAGUACGGCGGAACACGAGAAAUUCCGUCGGAAUCCGCGGGGACCAUCCCGCAAGGCUAAAUACUCCCUAGUGACCGAUAGUGAACCAGUACCGUGAGGGAAAGGUGAAAAGCACCCCGGAAGGGGAGUGAAAUAGAUCCUGAAACCGUGUGCCUACAACAAGUCAAAGCUCGUUAAUGAGUGAUGGCGUGCCUUUUGUAGAAUGAACCGGCGAGUUACGAUUGCAUGCGAGGUUAAGUCGAAGAGACGGAGCCGCAGCGAAAGCGAGUCUGAAUAGGGCGAAUGAGUAUGUAGUCGUAGACCCGAAACCAUGUGAUCUACCCAUGUCCAGGUUGAAGGUGCGGUAAAACGCACUGGAGGACCGAACCCACGUACGUUGAAAAGUGCGGGGAUGAGGUGUGGGUAGCGGAGAAAUUCCAAACGAACUUGGAGAUAGCUGGUUCUCUCCGAAAUAGCUUUAGGGCUAGCCUCGGAAUUGAGAAUGAUGGAGGUAGAGCACUGUUUGGACUAGGGGCCCAUCUCGGGUUACCGAAUUCAGAUAAACUCCGAAUGCCAUUCAUUUAUAUCCGGGAGUCAGACUGCGAGUGAUAAGAUCCGUAGUCGAAAGGGAAACAGCCCAGACCACCAGCUAAGGUCCCAAAAUAUAUGUUAAGUGGAAAAGGAUGUGGGGUUGCACAGACAACUAGGAUGUUGGCUUAGAAGCAGCCACCAUUUAAAGAGUGCGUAAUAGCUCACUAGUCGAGUGACCCUGCGCCGAAAAUGUACCGGGGCUAAACAUAUUACCGAAGCUGUGGACUACACCAUUAGGUGUAGUGGUAGGAGAGCGUUCUAAGGGCGUUGAAGGUCGAUCGUGAGGACGGCUGGAGCGCUUAGAAGUGAGAAUGCCGGUAUGAGUAGCGAAAGACAGGUGAGAAUCCUGUCCACCGUAUGACUAAGGUUUCCUGGGGAAGGCUCGUCCGCCCAGGGUUAGUCGGGACCUAAGCCGAGGCCGAUAGGCGUAGGCGAUGGACAACAGGUUGAUAUUCCUGUACCAGUUGUUUUUGUUUGAGCAAUGGAGGGACGCAGUAGGCUAAGGAAUGCAUGCGAUUGGAAGUGCAUGUCCAAGCAAUGAGUCUUGAGUAGAGUUAAAUGCUUUACUCUUUAAGGACAAGUUGUGACGGGGAGCGAAAUAAUAGUAGCGAAGUUCCUGAUGUCACACUGCCAAGAAAAGCUUCUAGUGAGAAAACAACUGCCCGUACCGUAAACCGACACAGGUAGUCGAGGAGAGUAUCCUAAGGUGAGCGAGCGAACUCUCGUUAAGGAACUCGGCAAAAUGACCCCGUAACUUCGGGAGAAGGGGUGCUGACUUCGGUCAGCCGCAGUGAAUAGGCCCAAGCGACUGUUUAUCAAAAACACAGGUCUCUGCAAAAUCGUAAGAUGAAGUAUAGGGGCUGACGCCUGCCCGGUGCUGGAAGGUUAAGAGGAUGGGUUAGCUUCGGCGAAGCUCAGAAUUGAAGCCCCAGUAAACGGCGGCCGUAACUAUAACGGUCCUAAUUUGGGCACUGUCUCAACGAGAGACUCGGUGAAAUUUUAGUACCUGUGAAGAUGCAGGUUACCCGCGACAGGACGGAAAGACCCCAUGGAGCUUUACUGUAGUUUGAUAUUGAGUGUUUGUACCACAUGUACAGGAUAGGUAGGAGCCGAUGAGACCGGAACGCUAGUUUCGGAGGAGGCGCUGGUGGGAUACUACCCUUGUGUUAUGAACCCUCUAACCCGCACCACUAAUCGUGGUGGGAGACAGUGUCAGAUGGGCAGUUUGACUGGGGCGGUCGCCUCCUAAAAGGUAACGGAGGCGCCCAAAGGUUCCCUCAGAAUGGUUGGAAAUCAUUCGAAGAGUGUAAAGGCAGAAGGGAGCUUGACUGCGAGACCUACAAGUCGAGCAGGGACGAAAGUCGGGCUUAGUGAUCCGGUGGUUCCGCAUGGAAGGGCCAUCGCUCAACGGAUAAAAGCUACCCUGGGGAUAACAGGCUUAUCUCCCCCAAGAGUCCACAUCGAC